rnacentral:rRNA from 1 species
GCGUGCUUACACAUGCAGUCGACGCAGAGCGAUGGAAGCUUGCUUCUAUCCAUCUUAGUGGCGUACGGGUGAGUUACGCGUUAUCAACCUGCCGUUCAGAGGGGGACAACAGUUGGAAACGACUGCUAAUACCGCAUACGAUCCAAUCUCGGCAUCGAGGAUGGAUGAAAGGUGGCCUCUAUUUAUAAGCUAUCACUGAAGGAGGGGAUUGCGUCUGAUUAGCUAGUUGGAGGGGUAACGGCCCACCAAGGCAAUGAUCAGUAGCCGGUCUGAGAGGAUGAACGGCCACAUUGGGACUGAGACACGGCCCAGACUCCUACGGGAGGCAGCAGUGGGGAAUCUUCCGCAAUGGACGAAAGUCUGACGGAGCAACGCCGCGUGAGUGAUGACGGCCUUCGGGUUGUAAAGCUCUGUUAAUCGGGACGAAAGGUCUUCUUGCGAAUAGUUAGAAGAAUUGACGGUACCGGAA